GUGUCUGUCUGUAUGGUGUGUGUGUCUGUCUGUAUGGUGUGUGUGUCUGUCUGUCUGUGUCAUGGUGUCUGUCUGUAUGGUGUGUCUGUCUGUCUGUCAUGGUGUGUGUGUGUCUGUCUGUCCGUCAUGGUGUGUGUGUCUGUGUCAUGGUGUGUGUGUCUGUCUGUCAUGGGGUGUGUGCCUGUCCGUCAUGGGGUGUGUGUCUGUCCGUCAUGGGGUGUGUGUCUG